rnacentral:rRNA from 1 species
UACGGAGGGUGCGAGCGUUGUUCGGAAUCACUGGGCGUAAAGCGCGUGCAGGCGGCUCGCUAAGUCUGGUGUGAAAGCCCGGGGCUCACCCCCGGAAGUGCACUGGAAACUGGCGAGCUCGAGUCCCGGAGAGGAGGGUGGAAUUCCUGGUGUAGCGGUGAAAUGCGUAGAUAUCAGGAGGAACACCGGUGGCGAAGGCGGCCCUCUGGACGGUGACUGACGCUGAGACGCGAAAGCGUGGGGAGCAAACAGG